GCGCACUGGCCCAACUGAUCUGACGUGCUUGCGCUGAAGUGACGAUCCCUUACCAGUGAGCGGCGGACGGGUGAGUAACACGUGGGCAACCUGUCCUGAAGCGGGGGAUAACAUUUGGAAACAGGUGCUAAUACCGCAUAACAACGAAAACCACAUGGUUUUCGUUUCAAAGAUGGUUUCGGCUAUCACUUCAGGAUGGGCCCGCGGUGCAUUAGCUUGUUGGUAGGGUAACGGCCUACCAAGGCAAUGAUGCAUAGCCGAGUUGAGAGACUGAUCGGCCACAAUGGAACUGAGACACGGUCCAUACUCCUACGGGAGGCAGCAGCAGGGAAUCUUCCACAAUGGGCGCAAGCCUGAUGGAGCGACACCGCGUGAGUGAAGAAGGGUUUCGGCUCGUAAAGCUCUGUUGUUGAAGAAGAACGUGCGUGAGAGCAACUGUUCACGCAGUGACGGUAUUCAACCAGAAAGUCACGGCUAACUACGUGCCAGCAGCCGCGGUAAUACGUAGGUGGCAAGCGUUAUCCGGAUUUAUUGGGCGUAAAGCGAGCGCAGGCGGUUGCUUAAGUCUGAUGUGAAAGCCUUCGGCUUAACCAAAGAAGUGCAUCGGAAACUGAGCGACUUGAGUGCAGAAGAGGACAGUGGAACUCCAU
rnacentral:rRNA from 1 species